rnacentral:misc_RNA from 1 species
UCCUUCCAAUUAUCAAACUUUUGUAUAUCUAUAUAUAUAUAAAGAUGUUUGGACUUUCAUUGAGAAGAGCAGUAUUAUUAUUAAUAUUACUUUCUUAAAAACUAGAAAUAUUUUGUUUUGGUUUUCUUCCAACUCAUUUUGUAUUUAAUAUAACAAAUGAGUGUGAAUGUAACAAACAACAAUAAUACCUUU